rnacentral:rRNA from 2 species
UACGGAGGGUGCGAGCGUUGUUCGGAAUUAUUGGGCGUAAAGCGCGUGUAGGCGGUUUGUUAAGUCUGAUGUGAAAGCCCCGGGCUCAACCUGGGAAGUGCAUUGGAAACUGGCAGACUUGAGUACGGGAGAGGAGAGUGGAAUUCCCAGUGUAGGAGUGAAAUCCGUAGAUAUUGGGAGGAACACCGGUGGCGAAGGCGGCUCUCUGGACCGAUACUGACGCUGAGACGCGAAAGCGUGGGUAGCAAACAGG